rnacentral:rRNA from 1 species
GUACCUGGAUGGGAGACCUCCUGGGAAN